GUGUCCUACGGGACGCAGCAGUGGGGAAUAUUGCACAAUGGGGGAAACCCUGAUGCAGCGACGCCGCGUGAGUGAAGAAGUAUCUCGGUACGUAAAGCUCUAUCAGCAGGGAAGAAAAAAAGUCCUUGGCUUUGGACGGUACCUGACUAAGAAGCCCCGGCUAACUACGUGCCAGCAGCCGCGGUAAUACGGAGGAUGCGAGCGUUAUCCGGAUUUAUUGGGUUUAAAGGGUGCGUAGGCGGAAUAUCAAGUCAGCGGUAAAAAUUCGGGGCUCAACCCCGUCGUGCCGUUGAAACUGAUGUUCU
rnacentral:rRNA from 1 species